rnacentral:rRNA from 1 species
UUCAACUUGAGAGUUUGAUCCUGGCUCAGAGCGAACGCUGGCGGCAGGCUUAACACAUGCAAGUCGAGCGGGCCCUUCGGGGUCAGCGGCAGACGGGUGAGUAACACGUGGGAACGUGCCCUUCGGUUCGGAAU